rnacentral:rRNA from 1 species
AGUGAACGCUGGCGGCGUGCUUAACACAUGCAAGUCGAACGAGAACGGAUUAUAGCUUGCUAUAAUUGUCAGCUAAGUGGCGCACGGGUGAGUAAUGUAUAGGUAAUAUGCCUCUUACUAAGGGAUAACAAAUGGAAACGUUUGCUAAUACCUUAUACUCCUUAUUAACGUAAGUUAAUAAGGGAAAGAUUUAUUGGUAAGAGAUUAGCCUGUAUUGUAUCAGUUAGUUGGUGGGGUAAUGGCUUACCAAGACUAUGACACAUAACUGGUUUGAGAGGAUGAUCAGUCACACUGGAACUGAGACACGGUCCAGACUCCUACGGGAGGCAGCAGUGGGGAAUAUUGCACAAUGGACGAAAGUCUGAUGCAGCAACGCCGCGUGGAGGAUGACACAUUUCGGUGCGUAAACCCCUUUUAUAUGAGAAGAUAAUGACGGUAUUAUAUGAAUAAGCACCGGCUAACUCCGUGCCAGCAGCCGCCGCCG